rnacentral:sRNA from 1 species
CCACAACAACUCGCCGAAAUACCAGCACCAAAAAUGAAGAUUCUACCUUUGGCUUUGAUGGCAAUCGCUCUGUUCGCCGGCUACGCAACAGCUGAACCUUACAUACCAAAACAUGUUCAGAUUCCCAGGAAAUAAUUUCGAAAAAUAUGACAAAAUGUAAAAUAAAAAGUUAUUGAGCAAAUGCAAAAAAA